CUUCCUAUGAGUUCACCACCCUGACCUGUAUCCCUGGAGUUAUAGAGUAUAAUGGAGCCAACAUCCAGCUGCUGGAUCUGCCAGGAAUCAUAGAAGGAGCUUCCCAAGGUAAGGGUCGAGGUCGGCAGGUCAUUGCUGUUGCCAGGACAGCAGACGUGGUCAUCAUGAUGCUGGACGCCACCAAGGGAGACGUACAGAGGUGGG